GAUGGACCAGAGAGCAUUGAUCUGCUGAGUGGACUAAAGAUGGGGGAGCAAGGUAAUUGACUCCGACUCCAUUGGGCCCAUGGUGACGACAUCACUGAGCAAGCCAGGACCAGAGACGACAUAGUGGAGACCAUACAAACGCUUCACACCGCGUGGCCGCUGCCACCCUAACCUUGUG